rnacentral:rRNA from 1 species
AUUGAACGCUGGCGGCGUGCCUAACACAUGCAAGUCGAGCGGCAGCGCGGGAGCAAUCCUGGCGGCGAGCGGCGGACGGGUGAGUAAUGCUUGGGAAUCUGCCUGUUAGUGGGGGACAACCCGGGAAACUCGGGCUAAUACCGCAUACGCACUACGGUGGAAAGCCGGGGACCGCAAGGCCUGGCGCUAACAGAUGAGCCCAAGUCGGAUUAGCUAGUUGGUAGGGUAACGGCCUACCAAGGCGACGAUCCGUAACUGGUCUGAGAGGACGACCAGUCACACCGGAACUGAGACACGGUCCGGACUCCUACGGGAGGCAGCAGUGGGGAAUAUUGGACAAUGGGGGAAACCCUGAUCCAGCGACGCCGCGUGGGUGAAGAAGGCCUGCGGGUUGUAAAGCCCUUUCAGUGGGGAAGAAAAGCCUCGACCUAACACGUCGGGGUCUUGACGUACCCAUAGAAGAAGCACCGGCUAACUCUGUGCCAGCAGCCGCCGUAAC